AUUGAACGCUGGCGGCAGGCCUAACACCUGCAAGUCGAGCGAGCGGCGGACGGGUGAGUAAUGUCGGGGAAACUGCCUGAUGGAGGGGGAUAACUACUGGAAACGGUAGCUAAUACCGCAUACCAUCAGAUGUGCCCAUAUGGGAUUAGCUAGUAGGUGGGGUAAUGGCUCACCUAGGCGACGAUCCAUAGAUGGUCUGAGAGGAUGACAAGCAACACUGGAACUGAGACACGGUCCAGACUCCUACGGGAGGCAGCAGGGGGGAAUAUUGCACAAUGGGCGCAAGCCUGAUGCAGCCAUGCCGCGUGUAUGAAGAAGGCCUUCGGGUUGUAAAGCAAUUUCAGCGGGGAGGCGUUACUCGCAGAAGAAGCACCGGCUAACUCCGUGCCAGCAGCCGCGGUAAUUC
rnacentral:rRNA from 1 species